CACACAGCGCAAUUAGUAGGAAAUUGGGAAUCAACAACACUAUUUAAAGCGAUCUAGCGGUAACCUGUAAAUGGUCUAUGGUUUCUCUGUUUCUCCCUCAUUUGCUAAUUCUGGUUCGACGAAGAAGAAGAAGAAGUAGAGCUUUUGCUUCAGACAAAGAAAUACUCGAUUGAAGAGCUGGGAGCUUGAUAGCCUCAACUUUAUCCAUCUACCAGUAUCUCAUUUCCCGAACAUCUUCGAGGGGGAAGAAAUUUGUUCCUCAGACCAUUGAUGUAGACAAUGUACAAAUUCAUGUUACUCUGAUUAAAAUGCUCACUCUGAUGAACCGAAUAGCGAUAAAAACCGGAGAAACUCCACAAACUGCGGCCACUGUAGUUCAAUUUGACAAGUUGCGGGGGGAAAGGAGCCCACUGAUCAAGGGGAAAAGAAUAGGUUCAAAGUAAGCCAGCUUGAGAGACCGGAACUGGAUUGCUUCUUGGAGGAGCAUGCACGCUUUUCUCAAAAAGAGGAUGAAAUCUUCUCCCAAGCUUUGGAAAUUGGAAAUCAUCUGGCAAGAUUUAAAGAUUAUUUACAUCUUUUAUAAUAAACAUAUGCUUGAGAAUCCUUUUCUUAGUUAAUACCAAUGGUUUUACUUUUAUUUCAUUUUUUGGGGGUAGGUAAUGAGAGUUAAUUUUUAGUCAUUAGCGAGCGGAACAGAGGUUCUGGCUGGGGUUUGUGGUAUUGAUAUUCUGUUCAAACAUUUGAUAAUGGGGAACUUGUAAAUUCAUAUUCUGUUCUUGUUUUUAGAUUGUUGGGACUUUCUUUGAAAAAACAUAAAGAAGUCGGAAGUUUUCAUCUGUAUUGUUGAUAACUUUGAUAUUGAUAUUUUGUUCAAAUAUUUGAUACUGGUGAACUUGUAAAUUCAUAUUCUGUUCUUGUAUUACGAUUGUUCGACCUUUCUUUUAAGAUACAAAGAAGUCUGAAGUAUUCAUUUCAGUG